CGGGUCCUGCCGAUACCAGUACAUGGCGUCGUGGGCCAUGUUCUGUGCACAUCUCAGGAUCACCUUCGUCCCCGUCCGGACCAGCAGAAGAUAGAAGUCAGGAGGCAGAGGCCGGGAGCCAGACGCUGCCAGGGAAAGAGGCACGGAGAUUUCCCGUCUGCGCCCAUGACUCAUCUGCUCCCAGGAGAUAAACGGCCACUAACCACACUGGCCCGGAGUCCAUGGCAGGGUCGGGUCCGGACUGGACGUCUCCCAGCUCAGGGCUGUUUACCCCGGAGUGAGGGGCUUGGAUUCAUCAGGUCCCACUGGCCAAGUGUGUGAUGUCACAAUGCGCUGUCUUCCACAUAAGCUGCAUUGGGUGCCUUGCACAGAGGUGGGCCUGCCCUCUAAGGACAGGAGAUUUGAAUUUCCAGGAACAACCUCUGUCCCAGCCUGAUCCAGUUCCGUUGGCUCUGAUCUCCCACCUCUCCUGCUGCUUGUGUCUGGAGAAAUGACCCACAUGCAUUCUUGAAUCAGACGUUCUGCAUUGGCAUUUCUCCCUGCCUGUGCCCACGGACCUUCUCCUCUCUCCCACUUCUCCUGAGACUGAUUGUGUCCCUCUCUGUGUGCCCCAGCCCUUUCCCUGCCCACUCUCCUGAUCAUGCCACAGAUGGACGCUGUGCAGAAAUGGGAAGGGGUCUGAGGAGGAAUACAUCAGCUGAAGGCCCUGACCUGGAUCCUGCCAAUACCAGUACAUUUGAUUAUGACUCAUGGUCUGUUCACAGCUCAGCUCCACCUCUGUCCCCGUCUGGACCAGCAGGCUACGUUGGGUCCCUUGCACAGGAGGAGGUGAUCUGAAUUCCUAGAUACAACCUCUGAUCCAGUCUGGUGCAGUUCUGAUGGCUCCGCUCCCUGGCUCUCCCUUUGCUUGAGUCUGGAAAAAUAAACGAUUUUCACUUUGA